GUAGGUGGCAAGCGUUGUCCGGAAUUAUUGGGCGUAAAGCGCGCGCAGGCGGUUCUUUAAGUCUGAUGUGAAAGCCCACGGCUCAACCGUGGAGGGUCAUUGGAAACUGGAGAACUUGAGUACAGAAGAGGAAAGCGGAAUUCCACGUGUAGCGGUGAAAUGCGUAGAGAUGUGGAGGAACACCAGUGGCGAAGGCGGCUUUCUGGUCUGUAACUGACGCUGAGGCGCGAAAGCGUGGGGGAGCAAACAGGAUUAGAUACCCUGGUAGUCCACGCCGUAAACGAUGAGUGCUAAGUGUUAGGGGGUUUCCGCCCCUUAGUGCUGCAGCUAACGCAUUAAGCACUCCGCCCCGGGAGUACGGCCGCAAGGCUG
rnacentral:rRNA from 1 species